rnacentral:rRNA from 1 species
AUUGAACGCUGGCGGCAGGCCUAACACAUGCAAGUCGAGCGGAGCGGCGGACGGGUGAGUAAUGCCUAGGAAUCUGCCUGGUAGUGGGGGAUAACGUCCGGCAACGGGCGCUAAUACCGCAUACUAUCAGAUGAGCCUAGGGCGGAUUGGCUGGUUGGUGGGGUAAAGGCCUACCAAGGCGACGAUCCGUAACUGGUCUGAGAGGAUGAUCAGUCACACUGGAACUGAGACACGGUCCAGACGCCUACGGGAGGCAGCAGUGGGGAAUAUUGGACAAUGGGCGAAAUCCUGAUCCAGCCAUGCCGCGUGUGUGAAGAAGGUCUUCGGAUUGUAAAGCACGUUCAGCGGGGAGGCGUUACCCGCAGAAGAAGCACCGGCUAACUCCGUGCCAGCCGCCGCGGUAAUUC